rnacentral:rRNA from 1 species
CCUACGGGAGGCAGCAGUGGGGAAUAUUGGUCAAUGGGCGCAAGCCUGACCCAGCAACGUCGCGUGAAGGAAGAAGGCUUUCGGGUUGUAAACUUCUUUUUACAGGGAAGUAGAAGACGGUACCUGUCGAAUAAGCCACGGCUAACUACGUGCCAGCAGCCGCUGGAAGACGUAGGUGGCAAGCGUUGUCCGGAUUUACGGGGGGUAAAGGGCGUGUAGUCGGGUUGACAAGUCAGAUGUGAAAUCCUGCGGCUUAACCGCAGAACUGCAUUUGAAACUGUUGGUCUUGAGUACUGGAGAGGCAGGCGGAAUGCCUGGUGUAGCGGUGAAAUGCGUAGAUAUUACGAGGAACCCCAGUGGCGAAGGCAGUCCGCUGGACAGCAACUGACGGUGAGGCGCGAAAGCGUGGGGAGCAAACAGGAUUAGAUACCCGUGUAGUC